UACAGAGGGUGCUAGCGUUAAUCGGAAUUACUGGGCGUAAAGGGUGUGUAGGUGGUUGUGUAAGUUAGAUGUGAAAUCCCCGGGCUCAACCUGGGAACUGCGUUUAAGACUGCAUAACUUGAGUACUGUAGAGGAUAGUGGAAUUUCCAGUGUAGCGGUGAAAUGCGUAGAUAUUGGAAGGAACACCAGUGGCGAAGGCGACUAUCUGGACAGAUACUGACACUGAGGCACGAAGGCCAGGGGAGCAAACGGG
rnacentral:rRNA from 1 species